AAUUGUAAGAAACCUUCCCCUCUUCUUUAAAGAGUGUACAAAUGGGGAUGAUAAAGGUCUCUGGAUACUGGGGCCAUUUUUUGCAUCUUCGCCUUAGAUUAGCCACCUGCACCAUUGCAAACAAGUCCCUUCCUGUUCAUAUCCUGUUUCUCCCAGAGCUGGGAGCUCAUCCAGUCACCAUGUUCUGCAGGUACCUGUUGUUCUGGGAGCUGGACUUGCCGAGGUGUGCCAAACUGAAGGGGUUCACAGAGAGCAAGCUGAAUUGGAAGACUCCCCCAUCUGUUCUCUACAGACAGGGUGAAGAAGACAGAGAGGCCUUGUGGCCAGGCUGUGUGAAGUUAUCGAAGCCUGAACCAGAGCAGUUAAGGUGGAAAUCAGGCAGAAGAACGGGAGUCAUGAAAGAGGCUACCUUAAGGGCGUGGCCAGGAGAGGGGCAAUGAGCAGGAUGGAAAGUGAAAAAGGAAAAGCUCUGUAUUUGAGUGAGGAGCUGAGGUUGAGCAGGGACAGGAACCUGCCUGAAUGCCGCUGUGGCCAAAGCCUGGAUCUGAAGCUGUCUGCUCUGCCCUGUGCUCUUUGCUGAAGUCCUGCUCCAGUGAGGAGACCCGUCCCAGACUGUGGAGGGAAGCUGACUUCUCCCCAGGGCCGACUUCUCUUCUUUUGGCUUCAGUUACUACUGUUCUGUAAGACUGAAUUCAAAGGGCCUUACAGAUUCCUAUCUACGAGACUGCUUUAAGUCUCAUUAGAUACUUGGGAGUUUGGACUUUUAACAGAAGUGGGACAGUUACGACUUGGAGGAUCCUUGAAGCUUGGCUAAAGGCUUUUGCAUUGUAAGAUGUGAACAUCUUGGGAGAUGAAUAGAAUCUAAAAUAUUUCCCAUGGGCUUGUAUUUUAAACACUUGUGGCCAAUUGGUAGCAAUACUUGAAGAGGAUGUGGAACCUUUUAGAAACUGAGCCUGUCUGUCAGAAGUCACUAGGGGCUGGAAAUCACUGGGCGCAUGUCUU
rnacentral:lncRNA from 1 species